UACUGUGCUGUAAAUGAUGAUUUCAUAGUUCAACUGAUUUUCAGUGAAAGACAAAUUUUCGCCCCUAACUGAUACAGCAAAGUU
rnacentral:snoRNA from 1 species